UACAGAGGUCUCAAGCGUUGUUCGGAUUCAUUGGGCGUAAAGGGUGCGUAGGCGGCGCGGUAAGUCGGGUGUGAAAUCUCGGAGCUUAACUCCGAAACUGCAUUCGAUACUGCCGUGCUUUGAGGACUGGAGAGGAGACUGGAAUUUACGGUGUAGCGGUGAAAUGCGUAGAUAUCGUAAGGAAGACCAGUGGCGAAGGCAGGUCUCUGGGACGGUACUGACGCUGAGACGCGAAAGCGUGGGGAGCGAACAGG
rnacentral:rRNA from 1 species